rnacentral:rRNA from 1 species
ACUCAAAUGAAUUGACGGGGGCCCGCACAAGCGGUGGAGCAUGUGGUUUAAUUCGAUGCAACGCGAAGAACCUUACCUAGGCUUGACAUGCGCUGGACAGGUGUAGAAACACACCCUCCUUUCGGGGCCGGCGCACAGGUGCUGCAUGGCUGUCGUCAGCUCGUGUCGUGAGAUGUUGGGUUAAGUCCCGCAACGAGCGCAACCCUUGUCCCUAGUUGCUAACAAGUCAAGUUGAGCACUCUAGGGAGACUGCCGUCGAUAGGACGGAGGAAGGUGGGGAUGACGUCAAGUCCUCAUGGUCCUUACGCCUAGGGCUACACACGUGCUACAAUGGCCGGUACAAAGGGUUGCAAGACCGCGAGGUGGAGCCAAUCCCAAAAAGCCGGUCUCAGUUCGGAUUGCAGUCUGCAACUCGACUGCAUGAAGUCGGAAUCGCUAGUAAUCGCUGAUCAGCAGGCAGCGGUGAAUAUGUUCCCGGGCCUUGUACACACCGCCCGU